UACAAAUGAUAAAAUAUCAAUUUUCGUUUGUACGGUAGAACAUGCGCAAACGCAGACCGCGAUGCGUGUACUAUUCUUGCUCUGUCUGUUUGUGGUAGUGAUAGUGCAGGCGUAUGAUGACCGAGCGGGUACCGUGACCAGCGUUAGGUCGCCAAGCCCCAGAGCUGUACAAAAACUAUCAUUUUUCAAUUCUAUUGCUACCUUGGCUGAGAUCAUAGCUAAUGUUCUGGGGAUAGUUAUGGACGGAAAGAAAAUUAAAGAAGAUGGCGUUGGGUAACGAGUGGCGAAUAUUCGGGUACACAACAUAAACAAAUCGAUUAUAUACUUAAUUGAAAUAAACUAUCGUAAUAUAACGAU